rnacentral:rRNA from 1 species
UACAGAGGUCCCAAGCGUUGUUCGGAUUCACUGGGCGUAAAGGGUGCGUAGGCGGUUGGGUAAGUCCGACGUGAAAUCUCCGAGCCUAACUCGGAAACUGCAUCGGAUACUAUUCAACUCGAGGAAUGGAGGGGAGACUGGAAUUCUCGGUGUAGCAGUGAAAUGCGUAGAUAUCGAGAGGAACACCAGUGGCGAAGGCGAGUCUCUGGACAUUUCCUGACGCUGAGGCACGAAAGCCAGGGGAGCAAACGGG